CAGUAGCCUCGGGAAUACCAGCAGCCCAAGUGGUGGUCGCGCUUAUUGGGCCUAAAGCGCUCGUAGCCUGGCCGGUAAGUUCCCCGUGAAAUCGGGUCGCCCAACGAUUCGGCUUGCGGGGAAUACUGUCGGUCUUGGGGCCGGGAGACGCCGAGGGUACUCCGGGGGUAGCGGUGAAAUGCUGUAAUCCUCGGGGGACUACCAGUGGCGAAGGCGCUCGGCGAUAACGGGCCUGACGGUGAGGGGCGAAAGCUGGGGGCGCGAACGGGAUUAGAUACCCCGGUAGUCCCUGUCUCUUAUA
rnacentral:rRNA from 1 species